UACGGGGGUGGCAAGCGUUGUUCGGAAUUACUGGGCGUAAAGGGCUCGUAGGCGGCCAACUAAGUCAGACGUGAAAUCCCCAGGCUCAACCUGGGAACUGCGUCUGAUACUGGAUGGCUUGAAUCCGGGAGAGGGAUGCAGAAUUCCAGGUGUAGCGGUGAAAUUCGUAGAUAUUGGGAAGAACACCGGUGGCGAAGGCGGCGCUCUGGACCGAGACUGACGCUGAGGCGCGAAAGCGUGGGGAGCAAACAGG
rnacentral:rRNA from 1 species